rnacentral:rRNA from 1 species
CCUACGGGAGGCAGCAGUGAGGAAUAUUGGUCAAUGGGCGUAAGCCUGAACCAGCCAAGUCGCGUGAGGGAUGAAGGUUCUAUGGAUCGUAAACCUCUUUUAUAAGGGAAUAAAGUGUGGGACGUGUCCUGGUUUGUAUGUACCUUAUGAAUAAGGAUCGGCUAACUCCGUGCCAGCAGCCGCGGUAAUACGGAGGAUGCGAGUGUUAUCCGGAUUUAUUGGGGUUAAAGGGUGCGCAGGCGGAAGAUCACGUCAGCGGUAAAAUUGAGAGGCUCAACCUCUUCGAGCCGUUGAAACUGGUUGUCUUGAGUGAGCGAGAAGUAUGCGGAAUGCGUGGUGUAGCGGUGAAAUGCAUAGAUAUCACGCAGAACUCCGAUUGCGAAGGCAGCAUACCGGCGCUCAACUGACGCUCAUGCACGAAAGUGUGGGUAUCGAACAGGAUUAGAUACCCCAGUAGUC